rnacentral:lncRNA from 1 species
GUUGCAAGUUAUACUCUAGUUUCUCUUCAGAUCGUAUAAAUCUUUCGCCUUUUACUAAAGAUUUCCGUGGAGAGGAACAACUCUGAGUCUUAAACCAAUUUUUUGAGGCCUUGUUUCGGCAAGGCUACUUAUGUUGUGUUAAAAAGAAGAAUUUGUUUGUGUUAGUACUUGCUUUUUCUGUACAGCACCGAUGUUGUCGUACGACUGGGGUUGUACAUGUCAUGAACGAAGCCCCUGGCCCGGGCCGUGGAAACACUAGGUCUCAGGAAAUGCGGAAGGGAGCUGCAGAGGAAGGCAACGUCCCAUUGAGCGUCCUCAAGAGGAGCCAGUCGUCUGUGAGAAAAUGGAGGAGCUUGUCCUUGGAAGGCAGCCACCAUGUUGUGAGGAAGCCCAGGCCACACGGAGAGGCUGCAUGUGGGUGUUGGGGCACGAAGCCGGCAUCAAUGGGAGCCAGCAAGCUAUCAGAUGAUCCCAGCCUCUAGGCUUCAAGCUGCCCCAGCUGAUGCCGAGUGGAGUGGACACAGCUGCCCUGCUGAGCCCAGCCCAGACUGCAGAUUCCUGAGCAAAAGAAGUCUUACGUUCAACCCCUCAGUCGUGAGGUGGUUUGUACAGAGCGUCAGACGGUUGGAGCAGAUUGCAAGCCCUGGCUGCUGCUGCUUUUUACCCAAAGAUAGUGUGUCAGUGG